rnacentral:rRNA from 1 species
GAUGAACGCUGGCGGAGUGCCUAACACAUGCAAGUCGAGCGGUAACAGGGAUAGUUUACUAUCUGCUGACGAGCGGCGGACGGCUGAGUAACGCGUGGGAACAUACCCCAAAGUGAGGGAUAACUGCCCGAAAGGGUGGCUAAUACCGCAUAUGGUCUUCGGAUUAAAGGAUUUAUCCGCUUUGGAAUGGCCUGCGUCCGAUUAGGUAGUUGGUGAGGUAAAGGCUCACCAAGCCUACGAUCGGUAACUGGUUUGAGAGGAUGAUCAGUCAGACUGGAACUGAGACACGGUCCAGACUCCUACGGGAGGCAGCAGUGAGGAAUCUUCCACAAUGGACGAAAGUCUGAUGGAGCAACUCCGCGUGCAGGAUGAAGGCCUUCGGGUCGUAAACUGCUUUUAUGAGUGAAGAAUAUGACGGUAACUCAUGAAUAAGGAUCGGCUAACUACGUGCCAGCCGCCGCGGUAAUAC